CACGUAGGGUGCGAGCGUUGUCCGGAUUUAUUGGGCGUAAAGCGCGCGCAGGCGGGUCUGUGCGUCGUGCGUGAAAUCACCCGGCUCAACUGGGUGGGGUCGUGCGAUACGGCGGACCUGGAGCGAGGCAGAGGGUAGCGGAAUUCCUGGUGUAGCGGUGAAAUGCGCAGAUAUCAGGAGGAACGCCGGUGGCGAAAGCGGCGUGCUGGACCUCUUCUGACGCUGAGGCGCGAAAGCCAGGGGAGCGAACGGG
rnacentral:rRNA from 1 species